GCCGGCUUAGCUCAAUUAGGUAGAGCAACUGACUUGUAAUCAGUAGGUUGUCAGUUCAAGUCCGACAGCCGGCA
rnacentral:tRNA from 2 species